CUCUCGGCCGUACAGGGCCACCUGCCAGAGCCUUCGGCCUGGGCCCUAGCAAUGGAGCGUCGUAAUCGAAUCGGGAAGGAAAUCACGCCGCCGACGAUGGCUCCAUGCUAGGCUGCCGCUCGCCACCGAAGUUCGCCCAACUUCGCUUCUCCGUGGCGCCGCCGCUGAUGCUGCUCGUGAGAGACUUCGUUUCUGUUGGUUUUCUCCCUCGCCGACUCGCCGGCGUCGCCGCCGCUUGCUCGGGGUGUUGUUGCUCCGCCGGCUACCUCUGGUAGAUCCGCCCCUGGCCAUGGGGACCUCUCCGCCGAGGGAGGCCUCGGCAUGCGUGGUCGCGGCGCAACUGGGGAACCACGGUGACGCGACCUCGCGGACUUCAGAUGCGUCGCGAUGCAACUGAGGGGCUGUGGCGAGGACUUGCGAUGCCUCCACCGCCUUGCCGUGAGGUCUCUCGAUCUCCGCAGGAACAUCUGGAGGGAUCAGCAUGUGUGGUAGUGAGCUGAUCAUCCUCCUUUAAUAAGAACCUAUAAGUGAACAGGAAUGCUUUUUCCAGGAGUUUAAAAUGGCUGCACCUUAAUUUUAUUAGGCCAUCCUUGGUCCGUAAUCGGUUUGUAAUGGGCCUUUAACUACUGCUCGUGGUUCCGCGGGGCAGUGCUUGUUGUGCUUUUGUUUUUAUUAGUGUUAAGCAUAAACUUGCGAUAGUUGGCCCAUGCCACGAAUAACUUAGUAGAUAAUCCAGCAAAGUAUGUUUUCGCUUC